CUAAAGAGCUAAGUCAGUCACCUCGAAAAGGCUAAGCGGUCAUGUGUUAAGCCGCGUUUCAUUCGACUCAUUAAUUAAAUUAGAAAAUAAAUAGACCGCGUUAUACAGUUAAUCCUUGCGUUAUUAGGGCGUACCACAGUAUACGUAUGCGUAAUAGAGCGAACUGAAACGCGAAAAAUGCUGUGAUUAUAAGUUCUGCAAGACAAGUCCUGUAAAGGAACUUCUCGGUGGAACCUAAUUUUGAACCGUAAUUCAAAUGUAAUUUUUUGAAGUGAAACUUCUUUAGGCGCAUGAGGGUAACAUUUUUACGGAACGUCACGGAGAUGCGCAGCGUUUUCGUCGAAGAGAGGGAUUGAGGCCGAUUGAGAGAGAAUGAGAAUGGUGAAUUACCUAUAAGUGAGAGGCCAAAACGUUUGCGCAUAUAACGAACCAAACAUUUUUCCUUGUAUUCAUUCAUAAUAUAUUGAAAAUCAUAGCUAAGGUGAUAAUAGCAGUAGUAAGUUAAACCAUUAUGUUUAUGAUUCUACUAGCGGACCUGACGUUAUCCUGCAAACGUCAAACAACUAAUUCUUGUCCUUGGACAUAGGCCUCCUCUAACAGCUUCCACUCUUCUCUGUGUCUAGCUUUAUGUAGCCAUAUAGGGCCAGCUGCUCUACUAAUAUCAUCUUGCCAUCUUUUUAUUUGUCUUUCUCGUUUUUUUCUCUCGGCCAAUAUAAUUGAUUAAAUAUAAACAAAAGACUACAGAAAUCCUUAUAUUAGGAUUGGAGAAAGAUAGACGACGGAAAGAUUAUUAAGGACAAGAGAAGAUGGACGGAACACACCUUGAGAGGAGCUGAGAAGUUUGGCAAGGUUUGAUCAAGAGUGAGGCCAGAAACAGCAGAAUGGAAGGAUCUGAAGAAGGCCUUGGUCGGGGUCGACAAACGGAAUGAAAGAAAAAGGAAUUUGUCCGAAAUAAAGGCUAUAUUUAAAAAUAUAAA